AUGCCGCCGAAGCUGGUGCGGGAGCUGGGCGAGAUGGAGGAGCUCGUGGAGGAGAUCCUCAUCCGCCUCCCGCCAGACGAGCCCGGGAACCUCCUCCGCGCCUCCCUCGCCUGCAAGCCGUGGCGCCGCCUCCUCUCCAGCCGCGGCUUCCGUCGCCGCUACCGGGACUUCCACCGAACGCCUCCCAUGCUCGGCUUCCUCCACACCUGGCUGUGCCCGUACACCGAGUUCGUCCCCACCACGGACUUCCUCCCACGCGAGCCCGAUCUACUGCAAAGUCGUUACUCCGUGGAGGACUGCCGCCACGGCCGCGUCCUCCUCCGGUACUUCGAUACGGACGAGAACAUGCCGCUCUUAGUCAUCUGGGAGCCCGUGACGGGCAGCCAGACGGUGCUGCGCCGCCCCGAAAUGUCGGGGACGAGCAGCUCCACCUCGGUGCUCUGUGCCGCGGACGGCUGCAGGCACGGUGACUGCCAUUCGGGUCCAUCUCUCGUGGUUUUCGUCAGCCUUGACGAGGAAGCGAGGGUCGCCACGGCCUCCAUGUACUCGUCGGAGACGGGUAACUGGAGCUCUCCGGUCUCUCUGGAUGUUGGUUUUGUUGAGAUUGAAAUCAGCUUCGCUAUGAUGCCUAGUGUUCUUGUCGGAGACGCGCUCUAUUUCCCCAUUUCGAGGAACUAUAUUAAUGGUAUUCUCAAGUAUGACUUGGCUCAAACCUGCCUAGACAUUCAUCUGCCGUUGUUUCAACGGAGUUGGUCGGCUCCAUCGAGGGCACUGACAUUGUUUUUGCAAUCACGGAUCUUGGCACCUAUAUGA
rnacentral:rRNA from 1 species